rnacentral:rRNA from 1 species
GCUUGUCUCAAAGAUUAAGCCAUGCAUGUCUUAGUGUAAAUAACUCUUAUGAAACUGCGAAUGGCUCAUUAAAUCAGUUAUCGUUUAUUUGAUGGUCCCUUACUACAUGGAUAACCGUAGUAAUUCUAGAGCUAAUACAUGCACCAAGCCCUGACUUUGAAGGGGUGUAUUUAUUAGAUGGAAACCAAUGCGGGGCAACCCGGAAUCUGGUGAAUCAUAAUAACUUUCGGAUCGAUCUUCGGAUCGAUGCAUCAUUCAAGUUUCUGCCCUAUCAGCUUUGGAUGGUAGGGUAUUGGCCUACCAUGGCUUUAACGGGUAACGGAGAAUUAGGGUUCGAUUCCGGAGAGGGAGCCUGAGAAACGGCUACCACAUCCAAGGAAGGCAGCAGG